GUGAGCGAGAGACUGACAGACCUUUGAGGAAGUGGAGGACGGGAGCACAUGGGCGUGGAGAAUAACGGUUUCUCAUUGCUCUUCACAUGUAGCACAACGGAGGGCGAGCCGCACCUUACUGAGCACUGGCAUGACUACUACCACGACCACGGACACCAUGGGCACCAAGAUUUGUUCCGCCUUCUUACUCCUUCUAAUAUUACAAGGGUCAUGGGCUUUCAACACGACAGCUAGUAUGGUUACAGUGUCCAGCGAGCCCCCUGCCACCAAUGUUUCAGGCCUUGCAGACAACAUUACGGCUGUGAGCAGAACCACAAGAGAUGUGAUCCCUCAGAAGACUGGACUUGGAAACAUCAGUAUGACAACGGGUCCCAUUUCAAUCCCACCAGCGAUCACCCAACCAGCUGUCAACAAGUCAACAACGCCCGAAGCCAGUAAGCCUACAGCAACCAAACCAGAGACAAACUCUUCCCCAACUAUGAAACCCCAAACACCCUGGAAACAAAAAGAAUUUUUCACCAACAAAGCCUGACAGGAUCAGAAGCCCACCAGGGCGGCUGGGACCCACCUGCUCUCCCCCUGCCAACACACUCUGUGCAAACAACAGACGACCGUGUACAGACACUUGGAUCCCCCCCGCGGCGCAGACUCA
ensembl:lncRNA